CUUACCGACCCACCAGCAGUCGAACGAACCAGUAAACCUUCACAAGAUUCGAACCAAUGUAACCUUGAAGAUUUGAAAGAUUGUGCUAGGUACCACUGUAUUCAGACGACGGUGGUACCAGUACACGGAGUGGCUUGUUCCCUUCGCAGUGUGCUUAAUAAGUGUGCCUGGAUAAUUGAGACUGACGGCGAAUAAAGAUUCGCAUUUGAAAGUGGAGGUCGAUGGAGCGAGGAGCUUAAUACCUGCCUUGAUUGUAUCGCUUAAAUAACCAGACUGUCUGGUGGAGGAAAAGGAAGGUGGUGCAUGAUUCUGUACAGAAGCUUUUAUCGAAGUAGUGAGGUGCAACUUCUAAGUGGCGACACUAGUCUAGUAAGGUUUGCAACUCUACCCGUAAAUAAGGAAGUUAUCAGUGUAGGUGUUAGUGUGAAAGAUAACUCUGCAACACGUGAAGAAAGGUACUUCGUUUUUUGAACACUCAAAUCCACUCUAGAACAAAAUUGCUGUACGUUUCUUAAAUCCAUUAAUCUUUUGUUUCCCUGUACAUUAGUUUGUGAAAGCAAAUUAUCUGUGUAUUAUACAUUGACUGGAAUACGCUUAAGUCUUUCUUCUGAAUUGUAUUAGUGAUUCUUUACGAUCACUCGUUUCUGUAUUAAAACUAUCUAAUGGCCUCAAACGAAGGCGUCCAAGGUGAAAUUACAAGAUGUCCUGACUGUGACGACGAAAGGAGAAGGCCUUUUAAAUGUUCAGUGUGUGAUAAAAGAUACCGGAAAAGACAUCAACUUAAGUAUCACGAGUUUAAACACACGGGAAUUUUACCUUUUACAUGCGCAGGCUGUUCGAAAAAGUUCAGAACUUUCCAACAAUUUACAGAACACGUUUUGCACAGUAAAGAUGACAGUGACGAAGAAAAUUCUGAAGUGUCGGUCAUAGUAUUGAGAUUUUAAAAGUUCCUUUGUUCAUUAAUUUAUGCUUAAAGGUCUUACGCAGACUACUGCCUUUUUAAUAUAAAAUUAUUGUAGAACUAGCGAUAAUAAUUUCCUCAUUUUACUAUGAAACUAAAAGUAAAUUCAGUAGACUGGGGCAGUAGCCUGCAUGAAGACGAUAUACCUUUAAAAUUUGAAGUGUAUCAAGUGACGACUGGACAGUCACUUAGCCUGAGCCUUCAAUGGGUUUAAAAACUUGAUUAUGGAAAAAAAUGUUGCCCCACAAGCCUGGCUGGACUUCGUAAUAUGCUACGUAAGUGGCGAGAACGCCAUGACUGACCACUCACGUCUAAAAAAAAAAUGUCCAAGGAAAAACUUCUCGCGUUUUAUGAGUUUUAAGACAAAACUUUGCGAGUUAGUCCGCAUAAGAGGAAGUCUCCAGCUAUGACUAGCGUUGCACCUGGACCAUUCCUUUAUCAUUUCACAAAGCAUAAUUUUUUUUUUUUUUUUUUGCGGCCAAGUUAGACCCAUUUAAACCUUGGGUAGAAUAGUUUGCUACCUCCCUCAGCCACAACCAAGAUGAUUAUCAAAAAGAAGCGCUAAACCACAAGGGUGUAGCAAAGUAGAGCGUCCCUCCCCUCCUGUGAGUGAAGGCCGGUCUAGACUAACAUAGCAACACAGUUCAUUUGUGCUGAUUGUGUAAUUACCCCUGGCUACCUGCCCGGGUUAUCCAAAAUUUAGGACUAGUCAACCCGUUUUGUAGGUUAAUGCAGUGUGACUGGAAAUUCUGUAUUUGUACUAAAUUUCCAAGACGUGGUCCACAAACUACAUUAAAAAUAUAGGUUUCUGGAUCCUGAUUCAUAGUGGUAUAUAUGUAAGUAGUUUAUCCACUUAAUAUUAAUUCUGACUAUGGAAGAGAUCUGUCUUGAAGUUGGUUUCUAGUUCUAUGUUUAUACCACUUGUUUUAAAGCUUAAUUUGUAUUGUAAUGUCAGUUACAUGCAUGGUAAUAUCAGAAACUGUUCAUUUAAAUUGCUGUUGAAGAGCUCCUGAUGCAAUGAAUUGGAUCUGUCCUUCCCUUGUAUCGAACCUGAUUGUUUUCCUCCCCCUUCCCCUAAAAUGUUCAACCCUUGCAUGUUAGCACUAAAAGGCAAAAUUGUAA